AACGAACGCUGGCGGCAUGCCUAACACAUGCAAGUCGAACGAGACCUUCGGGUCUAGUGGCGCACGGGUGCGUAACGCGUGGGAACCUGCCCUUAGGUUCGGAAUAACUCCCCGAAAGGGGUGCUAAUACCGGAUAAUGUCUUCGGACCAAAGAUUUAUCGCCUUUGGAUGGGCCCGCGUUGGAUUAGCUAGUUGGUAGGGUAAAAGCCUACCAAGGCGACGAUCCAUAGCUGGUCUGAGAGGAUGAUCAGCCACACUGGGACUGAGACACGGCCCAGACUCCUACGGGAGGCAGCAGUGGGGAAUAUUGGACAAUGGGCGAAAGCCUGAUCCAGCAAGGCCGCGGGAGUGAUGAAGGCCUUAGGGUUGUAAAGCUCUUUUACCCGGGAUGAUAAGGACAGUACCGGGAGAAUAAGCUCCGGCUAACUCCGU
rnacentral:rRNA from 1 species